GGCAGAGACAGGGUCAGAGGAAGAGAUGGUAGGGACACCUUAUCAGGGCCAGUCUGUCAGUCCAGGGACAGGGACUCAGAAGGGAGGCUGUGAUCAAAUGUGCGGAACUCUUCUGCAUGACCUGUUGGUUAACCAACAAAUCCUGAAGGACCAGCAAAAGACCAUGAUACGCAUGAUCCAAGACCUCCACAGAAACACCCAGGGAGGUCAGAGGAUGUCCACCACCUCCAGGCCUACUGCCUAUUUUCCACUAGGGGAUAAACAGGAUCUGGAGGCCCUGGAGGGCGACCUGGCAAGCCAGCGGGACCGUCGUCAGGAAUUGGUUAUCACUCUUGGAUUGGCAGGGGGAGCUGAUACCAAAGAUACAGUGUGGCGCAUUCUGAAACAGGCCAUCAAAAAUGACC